rnacentral:sRNA from 1 species
UUUCUUUUUCCGGUUGGACGCCAUCUUUAGAUAGAGUCCAACAUGGGUGCCCACAAAAGUUAUCGCACCAAAAUGCGAUUAGCCAAGAAACAGAAGCAGAACCGCCCAGUCCCACAGUGGGUUAGAAUGAAAACUGGAAACACUAUCAGGUAGGGCAAGCCCCUGGAGAACUAUAACUUUGCCAGAGACUAUUUAUCUCUGAUUUUGCUUAGUCGAGUAACAUGACUGGGGAUACAAGAACCAAGGAACAUUAUUGUCAAAGAGCAAUACCAUUAUUUACCCAGUGAUGUGUACAAAUACAAUUCACACAAUUGCAGAGGCAGUGGAACGAUCUCCGUUCUGAAACAGCUACAGCAUUAGUCAGGCUAUCAGCAGAUCAGUGGGCCCCAUCUUACGCUGCAGUUAAUGAUAACCGUUUCUUAUAAACUCUUUUAAAAUGUAAUUUAAUAUGU